UUUCUCCAUGUUGGCCAGACUGGUCUCGAUCUCCUGACCUCAAGUGAUCCACUUGCCUCAGCCUCCUAAAGUGCUGGAAUUAAGGCAUGAGCCACCAUACCUGGCCCUCAGUGUCCCAAUUUCAUUAGCAUACUACCAAGUGGAGGUGAUGGCUUUGGAGUUCACUUUGUUUUUUAAGUGAGAUACAGUGCUGAGUUUUUAGCUAGCAUAGGGCUCUGGCAUUUAAAGAAUUGCUAAAGUAACCUCUUCUAGGCUGUUCUUCAAAUAAAAGUGAAAAACAGAGCCCUGCACAAAAGUAGGGGUUUACAACAUUUGUGAUGAAUGAACGAAAACCACAACUCUUAUCACUAAGAAAGUCACAUUUCAAGUCAGUAUACAGAGGGACCUGUGAAGGUGAAACUAGGAUCCAGGAGCAGGAGAACCUUGACCCUCAGGACCAGAGCCAGUCCAGAUACGGCCUCCAGGGCCCUCACGGCACCCACACAAGGUGCAGCGUGCAUACACUAGCCAAGCUUGGCAGCAUCACUUCAUGUCCACAGCUUACCCUCUUGUUACGUGUGAUAGAGGAAUCAGGACUGAUUGGUUAACAGUGCAUAAAAGGCAAAGCUGUAAACAAAAGACAUGAAGAAGGAGAAAGUGGACCCGAGUUAUUCCAAAAGCACAAAAAGAGUUUUAGCCCAAAGAGGUAAAGUGAUGGGCCAGCAGCCACACAGUGCACUAGUGGCAGCACUGGUUCUAGAAUUCAGGCUUCUUGGUUCCCCAUUCAGACUUGCUCCUAGAACUUAACAAAUGAAAAAGUUGUAGGCAACGCAACUCUGAACUUUUAUUUUCCAGAGUUACGUAGUUCCCUUUCAUCUCUGUCACUGGAAAUCUGUAAACUUAACCUUUACUCUUGACUUUCUUGAAACUGUGCAUUUUCUACCAGAAAAUAAAAAUCCCCAGGUUACUCCCUGUUUUAACAGGAAGUGAAAAUAGCAAAAAAAGAGUAUGCAAAGUGAAAUGCCUUUUUAUACAGUUCCAAUUGCAAAUGCAAUUUAAAACAUGAUGAGUACAUUCCUUGGCUUGUUGCUUUAAAAAAAGAAAGAGAGAAAAAAAAAAAGAAAAGCAAUGAUAGGCAUUUGUCAAAACUCAUCACGUGGUCCACUUAAGUACCAUAUUUUAAAAAAUAAGAAUAUUUUAUCUUUCCUGUCCUAGUUCAAUAUUCUAAUUUGAUAAUCUGGUGAUGACGAUGGUAGAUUAAGCCUGUGUCUUAUGACACAUGAGUCAUUCUAAAGAAAAAAGGGUUCUCAAAAUACCUUGGGAGAAAAUGUUAACAGUCAUUAAUUCUGGGUGCCUAGAACCUGGGUAUAUGUUACAGUAUUAAUUGCAUUGUUCUAUGUUUUUAAUUUAAAAAAAAAAAAAAAAAACAACCUUGAGAUUAAGGGUUCCCAAUGUUCUUGUAAGGAGGAAUUGGUCUUGGUUUCCCUGAAUCCAGAAGACUUAAAGGAUUGAGACAGUGGAGUUCUUAGAGGGAACUGUCCAGGGGAUUAUGGGAUACUUCAGAGAAGAGGCACCGAAGCAUCAACCAUCUUGGAACUCUGCCAACUAGAACCUCAGACUCAACUGACACAUCCAAACUAAUGGCCGAGUGUCUCUUUUAGCAGCAUCAAGCAACUCCCUUACAAUACCACCCAAAGUAAUUUUCCUGAAGAAAUUCUCCUUGUAUCUAAUUUCAUUCAGGUUCUUGGGGCUUGCCAAGUAGCCAGCAAAGUGACCUUAACUUGGUCAGUUGACCUCUCUGGUCCUAAAUUUCCUAAUCUGCAACAUUUGAAGGUUUAUUUUCUAAGUGUUUUUACUUUAGUACUAAUUUCUGUGAGACAGUCAAGCUAUUCAAUGUUAGGUUGAGGUACGUAAAUCACUCCUGCCAGCCUGUGUACGAGGUGGUUCUGGUAUCACUGUGGCCCAGCAUGUGUCUGCCUAUCAGCGUUGGCAGCCACUGAGACAAGUGAAGUGACCUGUCAACACUGUAGACUGAAUAACCAGGGAAGGCUGAGGAAUGCAAGUGAAUGUAAAAACCACCUGGAGGGAAGCAUUGCAGCAAGAAAGGAACAGCAAGUGCAGAGGCCUGAGGCAGAACCAGCGGGGAAAAUGCUUUGAGGUGAGGCAGACAACGGUGCCAAGAUAUUCGAUGGAGAAAGAAUAAUUGUUUCAACAAACGGUGCUGGGACAACUGGAUAUUCACAUGCAAAAGAAUGAAGUUGGAUCCCUGCCUCAUGCAUGUGUGUGUGUGUGUGUGUGUGUGUGUAUAAAUUUAUAUGACAGACACUGUCCUUUGUGUCAUAGAUGUACACAUCACCACCAUCAGCUAUGAAGCAGUCUUCUUCCCCCACUGCCCCAAACAGUUCCCUGGUUGGUUUGAAGCAGUCUUGUAAAAAGGAAAAUCAAAUCUGAAUCUGAGCAGAUUAUAUUCUGGGGCUGUAACGAGACUAUAGGAAACUCUGCUAUGGGAGACCCGGGUUCUUCAAUAAAUAAUUUCAAGAAAGGAAAAGAGAUAGAAGGAGAAUCUAUAGAUUAAAAGAGACAUAGGCAUUUCAUCAGAGGCAAUGUAAGAAUGUUUUUAUUAUACAUUACAUACUAUAUAUUCAUUCAUUCAUUUAUCCAACACACAUACAUACAUACUGCUUCCCUACACUAUGUCAGGUACUGUUCCACACACAAAGCAUCCAGCAAAAUGUACAAAUUCUAGCCCUUGGCUGGGCACGGUGGCUCAUACCUGUAAUCACAGCAUUCUAGGAGCCAAGGCUGGCAGGUCACUUGAAGCCAAGAGUUUGAGACCAGCCUGGCCAACAUGGUGAAACCCAGUCUCAAUUAAAACUACAAAAAAAUAUAAAAAAUUAGCUGAGUGUG